rnacentral:rRNA from 1 species
ACUCCUACGGGAGGCAGCAGUGGGGAAUAUUGCACAAUGGGGGAAACCCUGAUGCAGCAACGCCGCGUGAGCGAUGAAGGCCUUCGGGUCGUAAAGCUCUGUCCUAAGGGAAGAAUAAUGACGGUACCUUAGGAGGAAGCCCCGGCUAACUACGUGCCAGCAGCCGCGGUAAUACGUAGGGGCAAGCGUUAUCCGGAAUUACUGGGCGUAAAGGGUGCGUAGGCGGCCAAUAAAGUCUGGGGUGAAAGGCUACGGCUCAACCGUAGUAAGCCUUGGAAACUUAUUGGCUUGAGUGCAGGAGAGGAGAGUGGAAUUCCUAGUGUAGCGGUGAAAUGCGUAGAUAUUAGGAGGAACACCAGUGGCGAAGGCGACUCUCUGGACUGUAACUGACGCUGAGGCACGAAAGCGUGGGGAGCGAACAGGAUUAGAUACCCUGGUAGGCUCU